rnacentral:rRNA from 1 species
UACGAAGGGAGCUAGCGUUGUUCGGAAUCACUGGGCGUAAAGCGCACGUAGGCGGAUGUGUCAGUCAGGGGUGAAAUCCCGGGGCUCAACCUCGGAACUGCCUUUGAUACAGCACGUCUUGAGUCCGAUAGAGGUGGGUGGAAUUCCUAGUGUAGAGGUGAAAUUCGUAGAGAUGUGGAGGAACACCGAUGGCGAAGGCAGCCUUCUGGGCCAACACUGACGCUCAUGCACGAAAGCGUGGGGAGCAAACAGG